AAAAAUCCAAAAAACAUCUAGACCUUUAAUCUUGAGGGGACAAAAUGCUGCAGGACUCCUGCUGGGUGAAGAAGUGGCGGAGUUGUACAGCCCCUCCCAGAUAGUUCCAGUAUCAAAGAUACGGGCCUCUCGGAAGUCCUCCGAGCCAAGAUGGAGGACGCUGGAGGGCUUGUCCUCCCAGGACUGCUCCGGAGGCGGCGGGGCCUGCGGACUGGAGCAUGGAGAGCCGUGAAAUACAGUAUACUGUAUUGUCGACAUUUUAAAGACUACCAUCAAUUCUUUUUUCAAAGGUUAAAACAAGACUACCGUAUACAUUGUGCAGUUUCAAAUGAGAGCGACUAGCCCAACUCCUCUGGAUAUGAUUACGAUUUUAAACUAAGAAAGAAUCUCAUGCGCUAUAAAAGGAGCGUGAUCUUAUGUCGCGUUCUGCAUUUGGCCUGAAUGGAGCCUGCAAUGAUGUCAAACUUCCUGUACAUUUCCCAGUUAAGCCUCUCCACCCAUGACUUUCCCCUACCGGACGCACAUUUUCCCAUUGCUUUACGACCAAAAGGAGACAAUGAAGACAUCACGAGUAGACUAGAAAAGU